UGGAAGUAAAAAGUCGUAACAAGGUCUCCGUUGGUGAACCAGCGGAGGGAUCAUUACUGAGUUAUCAAAACUCCAAACCCUUUGUGAACCUUACCAUCGUUGCCUCGGCGUGAGCUACGGCUACCCUGUAACUACCCUGGAGCUACCCUAGAGUUACCCUAUAGCUACCCUGCACUUACCCUGCAGCUACCCUAUAGCUACCCUGGAGCUACCCUGGAGCUACCCUGUAGUCGGCUUCGGCCCGCCGAAGGACCGUUAAACUCUUGUUUUUACCACUGUUUCUCUGAAUUUUAAACUAAAAUUAGUUAAAACUUUCAACAACGGAUCUCUUGGUUCUGGCAUCGAUGAAGAACGCAGCGAAAUGCGAUAAGUAAUGUGAAUUGCAGAAUUCAGUGAAUCAUCGAAUCUUUGAACGCACAUUGCGCCCAUUAGUAUUCUAGUGGGCAUGCCUAUUCGAGCGUCAUUUCGACCCCUAAGCCCCUGUUGCUUAGCGUUGGGAAUCUACGGCGUAGUUCCUCAAAGUUAGUGGCGGAGUUAGGGUACACUCUCAGCGUAGUAAUUUCUCUCGCUCGUGUGGUGGCCCUGGCUGCUAGCCGUUAAAACCCCUAUAUUUUCUAGUGGUUGACCUCGGAUUAGGUAGGAAUACCCGCUGAACUUAAGCAUAUCAAUAAGCGGAGGA
rnacentral:rRNA from 1 species